rnacentral:rRNA from 1 species
AACGAACGCUGGCGGCAGGCUUAACACAUGCAAGUCGAGCGCCCCGCAAGGGGAGCGGCAGACGGGUGAGUAACGCGUGGGAAUCUACCUUUUGCUACGGAAUAACUCAGGGAAACUUGUGCUAAUACCGUAUGUGCCCUUCGGGGGAAAGAUUUAUCGGCAAAGGAUGAGCCCGCGUUGGAUUAGCUAGUAGGCGAGGUAACGGCCCACCUAGGCGACGAUCAGUAGCCGGACUGAGAGGUUGAACGGCCACAUUGGGACUGAGACACGGCCCAG